UACAGAGGGGGCAAGCGUUGUUCGGAAUUACUGGGCGUAAAGGGCGCGUAGGCGGCCUUCUAAGUCGAACGUGAAAUCCCCGGGCUCAACCCGGGAACUGCGUCCGAUACUGGAAGGCUUGAAUCCGGGAGAGGGAUGUGGAAUUCCAGGUGUAGCGGUGAAAUGCGUAGAUAUCUGGAGGAACACCGGUGGCGAAGGCGACAUCCUGGACCGGUAGUUGACGCUGAGGCGCGAAAGCCAGGGGAGCAAACAGG
rnacentral:rRNA from 1 species